rnacentral:rRNA from 1 species
GACGAACGCUGGCGGCGUGCUUAACACAUGCAAGUCGAACGGAAAGGCCCUGCUUUUGUGGGGUGCUCGAGUGGCGAACGGGUGAGUAACACGUGAGUAACCUGCCCUUGACUUUGGGAUAACUUCAGGAAACUGGGGCUAAUACCGGAUAGGAGCUCCUGCUGCAUGGUGGGGGUUGGAAAGUUUCGGCGGAUGGGGAUGGACUCGCGGCUUAUCAGCUUGUUGGUGGGGUAGUGGCUUACCAAGGCUUUGACGGGUAGCCGGCCUGAGAGGGUGACCGGCCACAUUGGGACUGAGAUACGGCCCAGACUCCUACGGGAGGCAGCAGUGGGGAAUAUUGCACAAUGGGCGGAAGCCUGAUGCAGCAACGCCGCGUGCGGGAUGACGGCCUUCGGGUUGUAAACCGCUUUCGCCUGUGACGAAGCGUGAGUGACGGUAAUGGGUAAAGAAGAACCGGCUAACUACGUG